UACGGAGGGGGCUAGCGUUGUUCGGAAUUACUGGGCGUAAAGCGCGCGUAGGCGGCUUUGUAAGUUAGAGGUGAAAGCCCGGAGCUCAACUCCGGAACUGCCUUUAAGACUGCAUCGCUAGAAUUGUGGAGAGGUGAGUGGAAUUCCGAGUGUAGAGGUGAAAUUCGUAGAUAUUCGGAAGAACACCAGUGGCGAAGGCGACACACUGGCUCACUACUGACGCUGAGGCGCGAAAGCGUGGGGAGCAAACAGG
rnacentral:rRNA from 1 species